UACGAAGGGUGCAAACGUUGCUCGGAAUUAUUGGGCGUAAAGCGCACGUAGGCGGCUUAGCAAGUCGGAUGUGAAAUCCCUCGGCUCAACCAAGGAAGUGCAUCCGAAACUGCUGAGCUUGAGUACUUAAGAGGAUCGCGGAAUUCCCGGUGUAGAGGUGAAAUUCGUAGAGAUCGGGAGGAACACCUGUGGCGAAGGCGGCCACCUGGGCCGACCCUGACGCUGAGGCGCGAAGGCGUGGGGAGCGAACGGA
rnacentral:rRNA from 1 species